UUUCUCUUCAGCUCAUAUAAAUCUUUUGCCUUUUACUAAAGAUUUCCGAGGAGAGGGA
rnacentral:snRNA from 1 species